AAAUGUUUUGGAACUAGAUGGAGGUGAUGGUUGCACAACAUUGAAAAUGCACAAAAUGCCACUGAAUGAUACACUUUAAAAUGGUUAACUUUAGGGGCGCCUGGGUGGCUCAGUCAUGUCAGUUGAGUG